CCUAAGGGGUAGUUCCCCCACAAAAAGUUAGUCAAGAUACUUACCUCAAAGAAGCCAAAUCAAUACUCUAAAUGACCUUCUCGCGUGAAACAAACCUCCGAACGGUUCAAAUAUAGCCACAAUAACUUAAUAUCAUAAACAAAAAUCAUAGAAAAUAAUUCAGGAUAAUAAAGCUUCGAUCUUUAAUUAAAACAAAAAAGUCAACUCAAAAAGUCAACCCCGAGCCUGCACCUCGAAACCCGACACAAUUCACAAAAUCGGCAUUAUAUGUAGAAACAAUAUCAGCAAGAUGUUGGUAUAGAAACAAUAUCAGCAGGUUAUCUUGAACCCGUAUUCCAGCUACCUCUGUUGUAGUUGGUAAAUUAUAUGUACGUUGAUCUAAACAUGGAUCACAUUUAAUCACAAUAUAAGAAUCAAAUAGUUUCGGAACAUUUGCCAGGGAUUCAGAAAGAUUGAAUAUGGAUUAACUGAGAGAACAUUCAUAAGUCUUUUGACUAUUGAUUCGUUGAUAUUCACUGAACAGGUCAUUCUGUAAGCAAGUUUAUUUUCGUUAUCAUAGAAGUAUAACUACAGAUUCUUUGCUUUUUUAUCAGAAAGAAGUAAAUCAGGUAUGAAAUGAUACAUUUGCCCUUGAACUCAAAAUGUAUAUAUACCAUGAUAUCUCCUUGCUAAAUCUUUAUCAUUGGUUACACAAAGUAAGGUAAACGCAAACAUAUUAUUAUAUGUUCUAAUGUAGAUACGAAAAUGUCUAGAUUCUUCGGUAUUUCCUGAAUAUAAAUAUGAUAAUUCAUGGGGGAGCUGAUACGAAAUUAACUCCACUGACCCACUGCCACAACAAAAUCCAGGUGGUUCAUACUGAAACCUUUUUGCAUUGCAAAAUUUAUAGUUUGGAACGACUUUUAAACGUGCAUAAUCUAAGUUAUUUUUAUUAUUUUUCGUAUAGACUAUUUUGUCCAAUCUAUAACACGUAUGUUAUUAGUAUUGGUAAAAUAAAGACUGGCCAAAAAUUCAGAUAAUGAGUAAUGUUAGUUGAACGACUAAGACUAACCUUUGUUGGUAACAACUUCAAUGGAGGCAUUUUGUUGUCCCUUAGAUGUACCGGAUAUUGAUCCUGGUGUAUCAAUUUAUUUAAUUUAGAUGUACGCCUAUGGCAUGACGAAGUAACAAAGUUAAAGGUAGAGGUUGUAGCCUUACCUCUUUCAAACACACAAAAUGAGUGAUCGGCGUCUUUUCCUUUAUCAAAAACUGCUGAUAAAGUAGGAGUUUCAUGGCUCGUGCCUACUGCAUAAAAUAUGAAACACAUUUCAUAGUAAGUGAAUAUUUAUAUUAUAAGAAUUGGUAAAAUAAAGGCUGAGAUAAAUUCUACUAAUGCAUAAUGUUACUUUAACACAAAAGUAAUACUAACCUUUGUUUGAAAAAACUUCAGGAGAGACAUCUUGUUGACUCUUACAUGUUCCAGAUAUUGAUCAUGAUACAAAAAUUGUUAUAAUUUAGAUGUACGCCUAAGUUAUGACAUGGUAAGAAAAGAUAGAACUGAAGGUUGUAGUUUUACCUCUUUCAAAUACAUAGAAUGGAUGAGAGAUACUUUUUUCUUUAUUAAAAGAACUUGAUAAAGUACUAACUUCAUAGCUGCCACUUACUGCAUUGAAUAUGAAAUACAUACAACAAUAAGUUAGUAUUCAAGUAAACUAACAGAAAUAGAGAAAACCCAAUAUGUCAUUCCAACUUUUGACAUUAGCAGAAGAAGACUCUCUUAAGUAAGUGCACUUUGUUUUGACAACAUUGUGUCACAUUGAGGCUUUAUCCUUUCAGAUGGGCACUCAACAACUGAUUUUAUGGAACCAUUGCAAUUUUGUAGCUCCAUUUUUUGGUGCGUCAUUGUAAUACGUUGGUAUUUUUCCAUACGUAUCACGUCGCCUCGAUUUCUUUUCACAGUUUGUGUCUUCUGUACAUGUACAUGUUUUCCUUUGGUUGGAAGACAUUUCUGCACAAACUUAUUACUGUGAGAUAUCUGCCUCUCAAAUAGUUCAAAUAAUCUGACCAAAAAGUGCCUCAGUAGACUUUAAGCAGCACAAUUUAUUGUUUAUUCUACUGACAAUACAUAGGCAGUUGAAUGCAAUACAAGGCCGCAACAAAUUUAUUCCAUUGUAAAUAUGUUAGGUUCUAAAUUUACCAUUCUUGUCAUGUAAGAAUUAACUAAUGCCUACUCCUAGGAAAACUAUCUUCCAAUUUGAAAAAUUAGAACUUCAGACUUUUCUAACUUAAAAACUAUGGAGAAACAAUAUUCUUUUACUGUCCGACCCCUAUGUACCAUGAAUAGUUAUAGAAAAGUUUCUUAAAUUCAAACUUCGCUAAUUCCCGAACCCAAAAAGGUCAACUUAUUCAUUAAAAAGAACAUUAAUUAAAAUAGCAAAGGUUGGUACGUCGGGAAACAAGACAACACCAGUAAUGUUUUGUUGAUUAUGAAUAAAUAUAUGCUUGAUUUUGGUAUAUUAGUUUCAUUCUUCGUCAGAUGCGUCCAGAGCAGGGCUAAAAUUAAAAAAUUGAAUCCAAAAUUAUAAAACUUUGAAGUGACAACAUAUAUGAAAUUAAUAGGUACCCUUAGAAGGAAUCUAGCGGAAGCUAGUGGUAGUUUAAAGGAGCAAAAACUAUGGACAAAUCUAAAAUAUAUGAUUUUGAGAAGUUUGCCCCAUAUAUAUAUGCAAAUUGAAGUGCUAUUACUCUUUCCCCUAGCAAGCUCAUAUGCAGUAAAUGUUCAUAUAUCUAUCUGUAAAUCAAUUAUCUAUGUGGACACUUACCCUUCUCUUAAAGUUGCUAAAUUGCUCUAUGCAAACAACUCCGGCACUAUGAAAACAAAUAUGCAUAACAAAUUAUUACAACUCUCUUUGCUGGUUCGAUCAUUUUGAUGCGCCAGUAUGGUGAUCUCAUGGCUAUCUGAAGAGGAUGGUUAAUAUACAAUCUCAGCUUCAGAUUCCAUCGCAUUAAGACCGAAUCUCUGCUCCCUUUCUCCCUUUGUGAAUGAAGUAUGGAUGUUAUAACUUAACUAAAUUUAGAUGCUUCUUGUUAUUUCACUUGCUUCCUCAUUCGUGGUCCAAUAUCUAAUAUAGUACCCAAAGACAGAGAACCUGGAGACGGCAAACUUUUUUUGCACUUUUUCUAAGACUCUAACCUAGAAGAAUCAGAAGAAGGGACAAAGUGGAAGUAUGUGAUAUAAUUUAGUCUCUGCGAAAUGUGAACAAAAACCAUUGAUACUCCUCAAGAGAAAUACAGAUAGAGAUGAAUCACAAAUACUUAAAAAAUAGAGAAGACAGAAAUAUGCAUAAGAAAUUUAACAGAAAUUGUAAUUCAUUGAAGAAUUUUCUCAAACACCUAGAGAACAAAAGCCAUUUAUAUUCCUCAAGAGAAAUAUAAAUACAGAUGAAUCAAAGAGAUGGUAGAAGGGUUACCCACCAGAAAAUACGAUUGGCGGAAGAAAACACACUGAAGUGCAAACUUGACAACAAGAGGAAAGAUAGAGAGCAGAAAUUCUGGGCUUUUCUUAGUUGGAGAUGGCGUUACUUCUCACGGUUCCGAGUUUCGAGCCGUUUGGAGGUUGAUUUGCCCGGAAUGACAUUUCUAGAGUGUUGUUUGGCUUGCUCGGUAUUUGAUUUGACUUGUUCGAGGUAAGUAAUAUUUAUAAACUUGGGAUUGAGGGUCAUUAUCCCUGGGAACCAUGUUAUUUGUAAUAUGUUGAGGUGACACACAUGCUAGGUGACGGGUGUAUGGGCGUGCACCGUGGUAAUCAUGGUUCAAGUUAACUUAUAGGCUAGUACCAGACUUGUUCUGCUAUCAUAUCCUAUUAUAUCCAUAUUAUCCCUACUUGUUUGAUUAUUUGAGUUGUGAUUCAUGUAAGAAAUCAUCUUUAAGCUAAGUACUUAGUCGAUUGAGACCUAAUGAGGCUAUUUCUGUUGUUUUAAGUCAUCUGUUUUAACUGUAAUUAUACACUCUGUCAUGGUUCUUCAUUUGCAUAUCAUAUCUCAGUCUUUGUUCA